UUUAAGUUAGAACCCGCUUUGGGUGUUGGUGGCGGAGUUAGAUACUUCCUUCC
rnacentral:tRNA from 1 species